rnacentral:ncRNA from 2 species
AAAUAUACAAAAUUUGAAAGCCAUAUAAGCCGGUAAUAUGGUCCGGUGUCUCUAUAGCUGACCUGAAAUCAGCUGCUAUGGGUGAAACUAAAUUGUUU